rnacentral:ncRNA from 1 species
UGGUUCAGCCGGUAUUCCGGCUGCUAAGAGGGAAUCAGGUGAUAAUCCUGAACGAGCCCGUCGCUGUAAUGGAUUAGUCCGCUAAGUGCCAAGUGCCGGUAAAAAGUCACUGGAGCAGCUCUGCUCUGGGAAGACAGAUGCGGACGUCAUAUCUUGAGUCAGAAGACCUGCCUUAUGUUAA